rnacentral:rRNA from 1 species
UACGGAGGGUGCAAGCGUUGUCCGGAUUUAUUGGGCUUAAAGGGUGCGUAGGCGGCGUAGUAAGUCCGUGGUGAAAGCCAACAGCUCAACUGUUGAACUGCCAUGGAUACUGCUAGGCUUGAGUACAGACGAGGUAGGCGGAAUGGAUAGUGUAGCGGUGAAAUGCAUAGAUACUAUCCAGAACACCGAUUGCGAAGGCAGCUUACUAGACUGUAACUGACGCUGAGGCACGAAAGCGUGGGGAGCGAACAGG